rnacentral:rRNA from 1 species
GACGAACACUGGCGGCGUGCUUAACACAUGCAAGUCGUACGGUAAGGCCCUUUCGGGGGUACACGAGUGGCGAACGGGUGAGUAACACGUGAGUAACCUGCCCACAACUUUGGGAUAACGCUAGGAAACUGGUGCUAAUACUGGAUAUGUGCCCCUGCUGCAUGGUGGGGGUUGGAAAGCUCCGGCGGUUGUGGAUGGACUCGCGGCCUAUCAGCUUGUUGGUGGGGUAGUGGCCUACCAAGGCGGCGACGGGUAGCCGGCCUGAGAGGGUGACCGGCCACAUUGGGACUGAGAUACGGCCCAGACUCCUACGGGAGGCAGCAGUGGGGAAUAUUGCACAAUGGGCGCAAGCCUGAUGCAGCAACGCCGCGUGCGGGAUGACGGCCUUCGGGUUGUAAACCGCUUUCAGCAGGGACGAAGCUUUUUGUGACGGUACCUGCAGAAGAAGCACCGGCUAACUACGUG